UAUCUCGAUCUGGUGACUGCCUCUCUCCUGAGUUAUGAUGGGAUCACACCUCCCGGCCAUGCACGUUGGUAACUGAUGGGAAUGAGCAGAGUCUGCAUUUGUGGACCCAGCUGAGGUACUCAGCUCUCCCCAGGCAUUGCAGAGUAUGCCUGUGCACUCAGCUUGGGGAUGUGAUUUCUGAACAUGGGGAGAACACUGGAAAGCUUGAUGCCAUGAUACUGAGUUUCAGAGCAUCUGUGUCUCUGCACAUCUGGCUGAUGCUGGCAUCCUUCUCCAAGGUUUGGUUACAAGCCGAAAGAGAAAAAUAGAAAUGACUGCCUAGAACUGCUCUGUUCCUUACAUUUCCAGGGCCAGUGGAAGUCACUAGGAUCUUGUAAGUCCUUUAAGCCUGAGCACUUCUAUAAAUUAUAAUGUCUUGUAAUAGUCUGAAAAGAUUGUUCCAUCAUGACAUUAUAACCUUCAAACCUUCCCUGAGUGGUGGUUAAGACCAUGGAACAUCCCAACUCCAUCCAUUACCAAAUUUGGUCACUUUGCAUCAUUCUAUCAGGAUCCAGGAUCUUGGAGAUUCAUUUGGGGGGGUCAGAGUCCCAUGGGACGUAAUUAAUUCUUACUGCAUUACAGUUAGGUAAUAAAAUCUUGAGACCACACACACAAUUUCUUUCAGUCCAUACUUCUCCUGAAAUCCUUGAGUAAGAACUAAGCUGAAGAGGAUCAACGCUUCAAGUUUGGCCUUCUGUUCUUUCACUGGGCAAUCAUGAGUGUGCCCAGAGUCAGUUCAAGCAAGCCUGGCAUUCUCCAUCUGUUUUUCUCCUGUUACCUGUGAGCCAUUGCACCUUAGGAUGCUCAGCUGCAAAUAGAACAGAAUUCAAGAUACAGGUGGCUGAUCUACUGUGGAAGGUAUCUGAAACUACUGUGCCUUGCUUGUUUAGUCUCUUCAGUUAUGACCACUUAAUUCCACUUCCAGGUGUACACCAUGUGGUCAGUACUCGUCCCACUAAGACACAUCUACAGCAUCCAGACCAAAACUGACUGGGUUGAUUCCAGUGUGAUGACAUCUGAAGUGCAUUUGUAAGAACUGAGGAAGUGCCACCUGAGAAAGGGGAAAACUCUAGUAAAAUGUGGGGAAACAUUCUCUUGUGUCACUGAUAACUGCCUAUCAAAGUGGGUCCUGUUUUCAUUUGGCAGUGUGCUGGGCAGAUGACUUCUGCUGACCAGAAAUCCCUUGCAGAAGUUGUUCAUUAUUAGCCAAUGUUGUGUGCUGCUCUGCUUUGCCCAAACCCCUGAGAACCUGCUGAGCUGCCUGGAGCUGGGACUGAUAAGAGCUUGUGUUUGAAUAAGUACAACUUUUAGACAGUCUCUGCCAAUGGGGCUGAGGCACAGACUAGUUUAAUGAAAAGUUAAAAAUUAAUUAUCCAGUGUCUAGUCCCUGACUGCUACCAGCAGCUGUCAACAGCAGGUCCUGUUUUGGUGUGGCUGAGGGUGGCAGUGCUGCCAGAGAAGCAGGAGCUGUGUCUGGACCCACUACAGGCUUCUGCUGAGCCCUGCAGAACAUCUGCAAUAGGAAACCUUUCUCUCUCCUUUGUCCUUUCUUACAAGGAAAUAGGUCAGGAAGCAAAAAAUCAGGAGCUGGGAAGGAGGAUGAGAAGUUUCAGUGAGAAAGUGUUCCUCUUAGACUGGAAAUUAUGCACUCUUAGUGCUGAGCUCCUUUGAUACUCUCCAGUUCCCUCUCUGGCUGUGGGAGCACAAGGAGCUGUACCCUGGUCAGGGUGUGGAGACCCAGGCCAGCCCUGGGCAUGGCAGAGUAAGGCAGGCUAGGGAGGGCAAUGGCUUCCUUUCAGUCAGACAAUAAUCAAAGUAAUUUCUCACCCCUCCUCCAGCCUCCCACAUGAUUUUUCAGGCCAGGAAAUAUACGGACCUUUGUCCUUAGGGAGUCUGAUGGAAAGAAUUCAGAAUGUGAUUUGCAAUGAACAACAGUCAUGCUGGUGAGUUGUGCUGAUAAGGAGCUCUGCUCUUGCACUGCCUUGGAGCAAGGGCAGCAGUCCCUUGUCCCCAGCCCAGCUCCUGAGGAUGUCCCAGUGCACCCGUGGCCGUGGCAGUGGACUGGGGGAAGCGUGGAGAUGCUGCCAGUGUGACCCCAGCCCAGGUGCAGUGGCUGCUGCUUUCUGACACCCCACUGUGAAAACCCACCCCAGUAUCUUCCCACUCCUACCUUGAGUUUUCCACCUAAUGCUGCUGUGAGUGGUUGGACUUAGGAAAAAACAACUUUCCUCAGUCUUUUGGCUGGGUAUCCUCAAUAAAGAGCCUUUCUGCCUAUUUUAGGAGGGGAGGCACACAUUUGUGGUGCUGGAAAUGUGUGUGAGAGGAAACCUGCAGAGAAGAUGAUGUUAUAGCUACUGAUGUGAUGCACUGCUCAGAGAAGACAAGUCUGAUGAGGAACCAUGCCAGUCUCCUAAGUGGGCACUGCAGUGCAGCCUGGAGGGAGGAAGGCCAGCCCUUCCCAGAUCACUUUGACAUGCCUCUCAUUACCAGAGAAGAUUUCAGUGACAGUAAAAAGCAUUUUAUUAUGUUUAAAUAAAAAACUUUAACAACUC